rnacentral:rRNA from 1 species
UACGGAGGGUGCAAGCGUUAUCCGGAUUCACUGGGUUUAAAGGGAGCGUAGGUGGGCUGGUAAGUCAGUGGUGAAAUCUCCGGGCUUAACCCGGAAACUGCCGUUGAUACUAUCAGUCUUGAAUAUUGUGGAGGUAAGCGGAAUAUGUCAUGUAGCGGUGAAAUGCUUAGAUAUGACAUAGAACACCGAUAGCGAAGGCAGCUUGCUACACAAUGAUUGACACUGAGGCUCGAAAAGCGUGGGGAUCAAACAGG